rnacentral:tRNA from 1 species
AGUAAUGUGGCUCAGUGGAAAGAGCACGGGACUGGAAGUCAGAGGUCAUGGGUUCAAAUCCCAGCUCUGCCA